AAGAGAGGUCUGGGACACAAAGAACUGCUAAUUCUUUUCACUGUGGUUCAAAUCCACGGCUCACUUA
rnacentral:tRNA from 2 species